AACUUGAGGUUAAUGAAAAACUUCCCAGCGUUGAGUUGCCUGUAGCCGGCACACCUGCCCGCCGCCUGCCAUCGAUACAAACAUUUCAAUAGUGCGCCACAUGUUUCACCACCAAGAGAUCCCUGUAAAAGUUGUUUAAUAAAUGUUACCGUCUGUUUUACAGACCUCUACCCCCACCCCUACUUUCAAUUGAAAGUUGAUUCUUUUACUCAGCUAUAAACAUCAUUCCGCCCAAUCAGGGCUGGUUUAGAUCAAAUGGGCUGAUCGCUGGGCCGCCCGCUAACAGACGACUUCAACCCCUGUCUCGUCUCUCUCUCUCCUCUAACUGCUCGUCAACCCUGCCGCACUGUUAAGGCUGCGAGAUGCCUGUCACUGUAUUUUGUCAGCAAAGCAUAAUAUUUCUUCAGGAGUUCUGAACCUGGCACUCAGCGGGGUAGAAAUGAAAAUACAGCAGUGCAUAAACGGAGGGCGUCAGACGUAAAUCACCUAACAUGGGGAGGAGGCGGCAGGUAGAGAAAGCUGCCGGCUGUCACAGCGCUCCCCUGGAAAGCAGAUUGGACACCAGCCAUCACGCUUUAAUCAGCCUGAGAAUAAUUGAUGUGUCCAUGCUCCCUUCUGUCACACGCACGCAGGGUGCUGUGGACCGGAGGUUGACAGUGUGACAUAUGCUACCUUACAUUCGGUCAUUCUUGCCAUUCCUACAACCUGGCAGGGUAUAAGGACUUUUUCAUGGACGUUUCUGAAGAGGAUAUUGGAGCCAUUCACAACAGUUGAUCCACUGCAUUGAGGGUCCAUAUCAAGUCUCUGAGCAGAUGUUCUAAGCCAGCCUCUACCCCAAAGCCACUGAUCCAACAGAUAAAAUUUGAGUUGACACUACAACAUGCCUUUUUGCAGAAAACCUCAUUUGGACUGCCAUUUGAUUUUCAUGCACACGCUUGUGCACUUUUUGUUUUAAAUUGUGAAAGAGGAAAGAGGAGAGCCAAAUUUUAACUGUUAUGAAUAUUGACUUUUUUGUGGCGUAAACAUGACAAGUCAUGAUGUUUUCUUCAUAUUGUCCAAGAAAUUGUUCUAGCAUUCAUGGUCCACUGUGCAUCAGACAACUGUUAAGUGUCUGAAAUAUCUCACAGGGAAAAUGAUCAGAAUGAAAUGGCAUCCAAUAUGCAGCCCGUUUGUUAGGCUGCCUGGCAAAAAAAUAAGAGUAUGGCAUGAUAUAUUCUUUUGGCCAGAAAACAAAUUGAAAAGGGGAAGUUGUUUUUCUCACUCUGAUAUUUUGAGAUGUGCGUUGAUGGAAUAAAUGAUACUGCUAAUGAUAAUGCUACUGCACUGCAAUUAUUCUACUCUGAUGCUUUCAUGUGUUUCAAACAGGGUCUGUAACUAUUUGUAUCGUUAACUUCUGU